GACGAACGCUGGCGGCGUGCUUAACACAUGCCAGUCGAACGGAAAGUCCCUGCUUUUGUGGGGUGCUCGAGUGGCCAACGGGUAAGUAACACUUGAGUAACCUACCCUUGACUGUGGGAUAACUUCAGGAAACUGAGGCUAAUACCGGAUAGGAGCUCCUGCUGCAUGGUGGGGGUGGGAAAGUUUCGGCGGUUGGGGAUGGACUCGCGGCCUAUCAGCUUGUUGGUGGGGUAGUGGCUUACCAAGGCUUUGACGGGUAGCCGGCCUGAGAGGGUCACCGGCCAAAUUGGGCCUGAGAUAAGGCACAGACUCGUACGGGAGGCAGCAGUGCGGAAUAUUGCACAAUGGGCGGAAGCCUGAUGCAGCAACGCCGCGUGCGGGAUGACGGCCUUCGGGUUGUAAACCGCUUUCGCCUGUGACGAAGCGUGAGUGACGGUAAUGGGUAAAGAAGCACCGGCUAACUACGUG
rnacentral:rRNA from 1 species